GCCGUGGCUCAGCGGUAGGGCAUCUGCUUUGCACCCAGAAGGUCCCAGGUUCAGCCCCCUGACAUCUGCA